rnacentral:rRNA from 1 species
UACGAAGGGGGCUAGCGUUGCUCGGAAUUACUGGGCGUAAAGCGCACGUAGGCGGGUUGUUAAGUUGGGGGUGAAAUCCUGGAGCUCAACUCCAGAACUGCCUCCAAAACUGGCGAUCUUGAGUUCGGGAGAGGUGAGUGGAACUGCGAGUGUAGAGGUGAAAUUCGUAGAUAUUGGGAAGAACACCGGUGGCGAAGGCGGCUCACUGGCCCGUAACUGACGCUCAGGCGCGAUAGCGUGGGGAUCAAACAGG